CAGCUUACAUAAUAAUGAAAAAAUUUGAUGAGAUGUAUAUGAAGGAAUCAACAGCAUUGCAACCUUGUAUAAGACGUAGACUCGGCAUGAUGAGGUUGAAAGACUUUGAGGAAUCAAGUACAUUUUUCACGGAAUUUGAGAAAACGAUAAAUGAAUUAAAGGUUGCUGGUGCAAACGUAAGUGAACGUGAAAAAGUCGAUUACAUGCUGAAAACACUACCAGAAUCAUUGAUCUAUGUUGGUGACUUAAUCGACUCAUUGAAAAAAGGUGAUCGAACUUGUGAGUUUUUAAAAAAUAAAAUUACAAUGUGGGAAACGCGUUGCGAGACGAAAAGGUCAAAUGCUUUCAAAGUUGAGAAAAGAGACAUAAAGUGCCAUGACUGUGGAAAGUACGGCCACGUGGUAAGAAAUUGCACAAACACGUGCAGAGGCAGAAACAAUGACGGAAACAAUGGAGGAGCGCAAUGGCAAGGAAGUGCGUAUCAGCCGCAGCAGAAUAGGGGUUGUGGCGGACGAGCUUCUGGCCAAAGAGGACGAGGAUAUGGUCAGCGUGGAUUUGGUCAACAAGGUCGAAGCAGAGGUUGACAACAACGCUACAACGGGGCAAGUCAACACGACGCAAAUUAUUCAAACAACGAGGACUACAACGACCAAGGAAUUGCCUCCUUCCUAACGCGAGUAGAGCGCGAUAAUACUCACAAUCAUAUACUAUGUUCUACGGAGGGAUCCAUAAUUUGUCUCUGCGGAAUUCCUGCAUGUACACUUCCUUCUACGAUGAUUAAUCGCGCACUAGGUUUCCACUAUCUGCACUAUUCGACAAGCAGUGUCACACUCCCUUUGGUUUAACCACAAUAUUGUUACUAGUAGUCCGGUUGUCGUAUGUUAUGUUCUACGAAUGUGGACUUAUGACCUGUCUUUGCAUAUACACUUCCUUUUACAAUGAUUAAUUGUUCACAAGGUUUCCACUAUCCGCAUUAUUCGACAAGCAGCACUACACUAUACCUUACUGCACUGCGUUGCCUUUUUAAAUCGUUUGGUUUAUUGUUUAUUCCGGUUAUACGCUAGUUUUAACUUGUUUAAGUGCACUGUUCGCGGAAUCCCUUUCACUUCAAUCAUGACGUUUUGAUUUUCUAAAAUUUCUAACACUUUAUGCGGUCCUGAAUAUUGAUCGGAAUAUUUUCCUCCUCUAGGUUCCUUUAAUAUAUAUACUAGGUCUUCUAUUUUGAAAUUUUGCGGGUUGAUUCGUCUAUCGUAGUAUUCUUUUGAUUUUAACUUGAAUUUCACCAAAUUUUCUCUUGCCAUUUGCUGCACAGUGUUGAUUUUAUCGAACAGAUCUCUGAGGUAUUCUGAGUAUGUUUGUUCCAUGUCUUCUUUGAUUAUUAUUUCACUAGUGGGUUCUCUGGCCAAGUGCCCAAAGACUAAUUCUGUGCAUGUUCCUUCGUGUACAGAGGUAUUAUAAGAAAACAUUGCUAAUUCCACCCAUUCGUCUGGAAUUUUCGAUAUAUAACUUGAGAUAUUCCGUUAACACAUGGUGCGGGCUUUCGAUAGAACCGUUGCUUCAUGGAUGAUAUGCUAUCAUGGUGUAUCUUUUUAUCCGAAAUCUUUUUGCUACCUUCGUUAUUAAGGAAGAUGUAAAGUUCGUUCCCUGAUCGGUCAAGAUCGCUCUUGGUGAACCGAAUCGACAAAUGAAUUGUUUAAUAAAAACGUCUGCUAUUUCGACCGAAGUGAUUCCAUUGAUCGGAAUCCCGAGCGAGUACUUCGUUAAUAAAUCUUGAAUCGUUAAUAUAUAUUUGUUUUCCCUUUGUGUCUUUGGUAAUGGACCGAUGAUAUGCAUACUGAUUUUGUCGAUAGCUUUGCCCGUUGUAUCAGUGAGUACCAUUGAUUGCUUCGUUUUUUUCUAAUUAACUUCUUCACUUGGCAUUCUUUACAUUGGCAUUCUUACGUACUCCUGGAUUUCUUUUUUCAUGUUUUCCCAAUAAUAAUGUCGUAUUCUUUGGUAGGUUUUCGUUACACCUUAGUUCGCGCUUCCACUAGUGGGGUGGUUACUUCCCCGGUGCAAAUGGUAAUGUGUAUUGUUUUUGCUAGGAAUACUUCCUUCAAUUUCUUGAUUAUGUGUCGUCGUGGUAGCUCAUCUAAAUUUCCUUUAUUGAUGCUGAAGGAUGUAAAUAGCUUUUCGUUUACCACGUCCAGCAAGUACUUUAACGAGUUCAACAAAUUUUCCGUUGUUAUUGGAACGUUUCUGUUUUCUUUCACGGGUAAAGAUAUUAUUUGUUUUCCCGAGUCUUGAUAUAAUCUUGCUCUUUCAAACUUUAUAAUGCGGUAGUAUAAUAAACUCAUAAUGCGGUAGUUUCCUUGCUUCCUUUAUUUCUGAGGCUCCUCUGUCCACCGGAUUUCCUUUUGUAUCGAUAAAAAUCAUUUUAUGGUCGUUUACAUUCACUAUCGAAUCUCUUGUUUCUGAGAUCUUCAAUUCUGUACGUACUGUGGGCUUGGUCCUUUCUUCCCGUUGUCCUGGCAACUCUUGUGUAGGAAGGUAUUCUCGAAUGACUGCUCUUCUCUGAUUUCCUGGAUCAUGGGAUUAAGGGAGGCGAGGCUUAGCUUCAAAUAUGGGAGAAUCCUCGGUUGACGUGUUUAAUUUAAAUCUUUUUAGGAGUGGACAACGAACCGGUGAAUUUUCUUCUCGUUUCCUGAUUGGUAAACAUACCUCCAGGGGAUUUCUAGAUAAUGCGUCCGCAUUAGCGUUUGCUCUGGCUUCUUUAUAUCGAAUGUCAAAUUCAAAAUCCGACAACUUUAAUUUUCACUUCUAGCUACUUGAGGUAGAAUCUUUUACAGAAUACAUCCACACCAAAGGUUUAUAAUCGGUUAUGUUGAGGUUAUUCAGUAUAUAAAGAGAGAAAAACGCGUGGAUAAAGUGUAAGAUACAAAAUAUACAUAUUUGAUUUAAUAGUGAAAUACAGGAAUACAAUUUGAGC